UGGCAAGACUUUGUAUAAGGAAAGCAUA
rnacentral:piRNA from 1 species